GACGAACGUUGGCGGCGUGCUUAAUACAUGCAAGUCGACUGAAGCAGUGGUAGCAAUAUCGCUGUGGAGGUGGCGCACGGGUGAGUAACACGUAGGUAAUCUGCCUUCAGGUCUGGCAUAACUCCGGGAAACCGGGGCUAAUAGCAGAUGAUGCAGCGGCUCGACAUCGAGACAGUUGUUAAAGCUAUGGCGCCUGAAGAUGAGCCUGCGUCUGAUUAGCUAGUUGGCGGGGUAACGGCCCACCAAGGCAACGAUCAGUAGCUGGUCUGAGAGGAUGAUCAGGCACACUGGAACGGAGACACGGUCCAGACUCCGACGGGAGGCAGCAGUAAGGAAUAUUGCUGAAUGGGAGAAAUACUGAAGCAGCAACGCCGCGUGAGGGACGAAGGGCUUUUGCUUGUAAACCUCUGUAGUGAGAGAAAAAAAUCCCAAUCUUUGGGACAUGAUGGUAUCUAAAAAGUAAGCCCCGGCUAACUACGUG
rnacentral:rRNA from 1 species